rnacentral:rRNA from 1 species
UACGGGGGGAGCAAGCGUUGUUCGGAUUUACUGGGCGUAAAGGGCGCGUAGGCGGUCGUGACAAGUCACUUGUGAAAUCUCCGGGCUUAACUCGGAACUGCCAAGUGAUACUAUCGUGCUAGAGUGCAGAAGGGGCAAUCGGAAUUCUUGGUGUAGCGGUGAAAUGCGUAGAUAUCAAGAGGAACACCAGAGGCGAAGGCGGAUUGCUGGGCUGACACUGACGCUGAGGCGCGAAAGCUAGGGUAGCAAACGGG